AUUGAACGCUGGCGGCAGGCCUAACACAUGCAAGUCGAACGAGUGGCGGACGGGCGAGUAAUGUCUGGACAACUGCCUGACGGAGGGGGAUAACUACUGGAAACGGUAGCUAAUACCGCUUACGACCGGUUGUGCCCAGAUGGGAUUAGCUAGUAGGUGGGGUAACGGCUCACCUAGGCGACGAUCCCUAGCUGGUCUGAGAGGAUGACCGGCCACACUGGGACUGAGACACGGUCCAGACUCCUACGGGAGGCAGCAGUGGGGAAUAUUGGACAAUGGGCGAAAGCCUGAUGCAGCCAUGCCGCGUGUAUGAAGAAGGCCUUCGGGUUGUAAAGUACUUUCAGCGGGGAGGCGUUACCCGCAGAAGAAGCACCGGCUAACUCCGUGCCAGCAGCCGCGGUAAUUC
rnacentral:rRNA from 1 species